CCUACGGGAGGCAGCAGUGGGGAAUAUUGCACAAUGGGCGCAAGCCUGAUGCAGCGACGCCGCGUGCGGGAUGGAGGCCUUCGGGUUGUAAACCGCUUUUGUUCAAGGGCAAGGCACGGUCUUUGGCCGUGUUGAGUGGAUUGUUCGAAUAAGCAGCGGCUAACUACGUGCCAGCAGCCGCGGUCAUACGUAGGGUGCAAGCGUUAUCCGGAUUUAUUGGGCGUAAGGGGCUCGUAGGCGGUUCGUCGCGUCCGGUGUGAAAGUCCAUCGCUUAACGGUGGAUCCGCGCCGGGUACGGGCGGGCUUGAGUGCGGUAGGGGAGACUGGAAUUCCCGGUGUAACGGUGGAAUGUGUAGAUAUCGGGAAGAACACCAAUGGCGAAGGCAGCCUACUAAACUGCCACUGACAUUGAUGCUCGAAAGUGUGGGUAUCAAACAGGAUUAGAUACCCUUGUAGUC
rnacentral:rRNA from 1 species